UACGUAGGGGGCAAGCGUUGUCCGGAUUUAUUGGGCGUAAAGAGCGUGUAGGCGGUUUGGUAGGUCCGCUGUGAAAACUCGAGGCUCAACCUCGACGACGCCGGUGGAAACCAUCAGACUAGAGUCCGGAAGAGGAGAGUGGAAUUCCUGGUGUAGCGGUGAAAUGCGCAGAUAUCAGGAAGAACACCCGUGGCUAAGGCGGCUCUCUAGUACGGUACUGACGCUGAGACGCGAAAGCGUGGGGAGCGAACAGG
rnacentral:rRNA from 1 species